UUAAAUUGAAGAGUUUGAUCAUGGCUCAGAUUGAACGCUGGCGGCAGGCUUAACACAUGCAAGUCGAACGGUAACAUGAGUGCUUGCACUUGAUGACGAGUGGCGGACGGGUGAGUAAAGUAUG
rnacentral:rRNA from 1 species